rnacentral:ribozyme from 1 species
UGAAAAAAAAAAAAAAAAAAAAAAAAAAAAAAAAAAAAAAAAAAA